rnacentral:rRNA from 1 species
UAAGUCAGUAGUGAAAUGACGAGGCUCAACCUCGUGUCCAUUACUGAAACUGCUAAGCUAGAGAAUGAGAGAGGUCACUGGAAUUCCCUGUGUAGGAGUGAAAUCCGUAGAUAUAGGGAGGAACACCGAUGGCGUAGGCAGGUGACUGGCUCAUUUCUGACACUAAGGCACGAAAGCGUGGGGAGCAAACGGGAUUAGAUACCCCGGUAGUCCACGCCGUAAACUAUGGAUACUA